rnacentral:lncRNA from 1 species
AUAUGGAUAACAGACGUGAUGAGAAAUGUGGAACACCAUGCGCUACAUCACAAGAAGAGAUGAAAGUCAGAGGGAAAGACAAGAGAAAGCGAAAACGCAGCAGAAGCAGAUCAUCGUCCAUUUCAUCAACAUCAUCUGCUAGUACUACUACUACAUCCUCCUCAUGCUCUUCAUCAAGAUCUUCCUCCUCUUCAAGCAGCAGAAGCAGUUCAAGUGGCAGAGAUUCUCCCAAGUCUAAAUCAAAGAAAAGGAAAAAAGAAAAACGCAACAAAAAGGGAUUUCAGAUAUUUAGUGAGGCAGGGAGGACCAGACCCCCAGAAACAGGGUCAGGGAACCCACCACCACUUCUGUUUCCUGGGAUCAUGGGGGUCACUAGGCCUUAA